CGGCGUGCUUACACAUGCAAGUCGAACGGAACCUUCGGGUUUAGUGGCGAACGGGUGAGUAAAGCGCAGGUAAUCUGCCGCAAAGACGGGGACAACGUUCCGAAAGGGACGCUAAUACCGGAUGUUGUGCAGACGUCGCAUGACGGUUGCAUUAAAGAUUUAUCGCUUUGCGAGGAGCCUGCGUCCGAUUAGCUAGUUGGUGGGGUAAAAGCCUACCAAGGCGACGAUCGGUAGCCGGUCUGAGAGGAUGAACGGUCACAAUGGAACUGAGACACGGUCCAUACUCCUACGGGAGGCAGCAGUGGGGAAUAUUCCACAAUGGGCGAAAGCCUGAUGGAGCGACGCCGCGUGAGUGAAGAAGGGCUUCGGCUCGUAAAGCUCUUUUCUUGAGGACGAAUGGUCUAUUAGAUAGGCAGAGACGGUACUUAGGGAAUAAGCCACGGCUAACUACGUGCCAGCAGCCGCGGUAAUACGUAGGUGGCAAGCGUUGUCCGGAAUUAUUGGGCGUAAAGGGAGCGCAGGCGGGCUUACAAGUCCAAAUUAAAAGUGCAGGAGUAAUGUCUGUGAUGGUUUGGAAACUGUAAGUCUUGAGAGCAGGAGAGGCAAGCGGAAUUCCC
rnacentral:rRNA from 1 species